rnacentral:rRNA from 1 species
CCUACGGGAGGCAGCAGUGAGGAAUAUUGGUCAAUGGGCGCGAGCCUGAACCAGCCAAGUAGCGUGAAGGAUGACUGCCCUACGGGUUGUAAACUUCUUUUAUAAAGGAAUAAAGUGAGGCACGUGUGCCUUUUUGUAUGUACUUUAUGAAUAAGGAUCGGCUAACUCCGUGCCAGCAGCCGCGGUAAUACGGAGGAUCCGAGCGUUAUCCGGAUUUAUUGGGUUUAAAGGGUGCGUAGAUGGGUUGUUAAGUCAGUUGUGAAAGUUUGCGGCUCAACCGUAAAAUUGCAAUUGAUACUGGCAACCGUGAGGACAGUUGAGGUAGGCGGAAUGCGUGGUGUAGCGGUGAAAUGCUUAGAUAGCACGAAGAACUCCGAUUGCGAAGACAGCUUACUAAACUGCCACUGACAUUGAUGCUCGAAAGUGUGGGUAUCAAACAGGAUUAGAUACCCUAGUAGUC